rnacentral:rRNA from 1 species
UACGGAGGAUGCAAGCGUUAUCCGGAAUUAUUGGGCGUAAAGAGCUCGUAGGCGGCUUGUCGCGUCGUCUGUGAAAACCCGCGGCUCAACGGCGGCUUGCAGUCGAUACGGGCAGGCUGGAGUUCGGUAGGGAGACUGGAAUUCCUGGUGUAGCGGUGAAAUGCGCAGAUAUCAGGAGAACACCGUGCGAAGGCGGCUCUC